rnacentral:rRNA from 1 species
ACGGGUAGCCGGCCUGAGAGGGUGACCGGCCACACUGGGACUGAGACACGGCCCAGACUCCUACGGGAGGCAGCAGUGGGGAAUAUUGCACAAUGGGCGAAAGCCUGAUGCAGCAACGCCGCGUGAGGGAUGACGGCCUUCGGGUUGUAAACCUCUUUUAGUAGGGAAGAAGCGAAAGUGACGGUACCUGCAGAAAAAGCACCGGCUAACUACGUGCCAGCAGCCGCGGUAAUACGUAGGGUGCAAGCGUUGUCCGGAAUUAUUGGGCGUAAAGAGCUCGUAGGCGGUUUGUCGCGUCUGCUGUGAAAUCUGGGGGCUCAACCCCCAGCCUGCAGUGGGUACGGGCAGACUAGAGUGCGGUAGGGGAGAUUGGAAUUCCUGGUGUAGCGGUGGAAUGCGCAGAUAUCAGGAGGAACACCGAUGGCGAAGGCAGAUCUCUGGGCCGUAACUGACGCUGAGGAGCGAAAGCGUGGGGAGCGA